rnacentral:rRNA from 1 species
GACCGUGCUAAGGUAGCAUAAUCAUUUGUCUUAUAAUAGAAGGCUGGUAUGAAAGAGUUGACGGUACUUGUACUUUCUCAAUAAAUUAUAUUGAAUUUGAUAUUUGCAUCAAAAAGUGCAACUUCCCAGAGGGACGAUAAGACCCUAUAAAGCUUACAUCAAAAAUUUUAYUUUUUAUAAAGUUUUCUAAAAUAAAGUUAUUGAUUGAGCUGGGGCGGUAAUUACUAUUCUGUAAGAAAUAUAACAAUUAUGUUUGAAAUUUAAGAUCUUAAUAAAGAUGUAGAACAAGCUACUUUAGGGAUAACAGCGUAAUUUCUUAGAAUAGAUCUCAUAGAUUAAUAAGACUUACGACCUCGAUGUUGAAUUGAGGGGCUCCCCUUAAGCAGAAAUAAGGGAGAGGGGUCUGUUCGACCUUUAAUCCCUCA